AGCAACGAAUAUUCCGCAAUGGACGAAACUCUGACGGAGCGACGCCGCGUGCAGGAAGAAGUCCCUCGGGAUGUAAACUGCUGUCGGGGGUUAGGAAUAAUGACCAACCCCAAAGGAAGCACUGGCUAACUCCGUGCCAGCAGCCGCGGUAAUACGGAGAGUGCAAGCGUUGUUCGGAAUUACUGGGCUUAAAGAGCAUGUAGGCGGGGCGUCAGGUGCCGCGUGAAAUCCCCAGGCUCAACCUGGGAAUUGCACGGCAAACCGGCGCUCUUGAGGCAAGUAGAGGUGACUGGAACGACUGGUGGAGCGGUGAAAUGCGUAGAUAUCAGUUGGAACGCCGGAGGCGAAAGCGGGUCACUGGGCUUGUACUGACGCUGAGAUGCGAAAGCGUGGGUAGCGAACAGGAUUAGAUACCCUGGUAGUCCACGCCGUAAACGAUGCGCACUAGGUAUGGGAGGUUCUGACAUCGACCGUGCCGAAGCAAAAGUGAUAAGUGCGCCGCCUGGGGAGUACGGCCGCAAGGCUAAAACUCAAAGGAAUUGACGGGGGCUCACACAAGCGGUGGAGCAUGUGGAUUAAUUCGAAGCAACGCGAAGAACCUUACCUGGGUUUGACAUGUGCGGAUGCUCUCUUGGAAACAGGAGUAGGCUGCCUUCGGGUGAAACGUACACAGGUGCUGCAUGGCUGUCGUCAGCUCGUGCUGUGAAGUGUCGGGUUUAAGUCCCCUUAACGAGCGAAAACCCCUAUCGUU
rnacentral:rRNA from 1 species